UAGCCUAGUGAUUAAGGCUAUGGAUUGCCAAUCCGGAGACGGCGGGUUCGAUUCCCGU
rfam:Aedes albopictus isolate Foshan contig80032, whole genome shotgun sequence.